rnacentral:snoRNA from 1 species
CACGUAAUAAUUAGCAAAAGAGAUUCGCAUGAGAAGAAGAGAUAAUGCACAGAACUAGCAUUAUUUUGUCUUCUGUUUUCACAGAGGUAUAUUCUGUUUUGUGAGACAUUC